rnacentral:rRNA from 1 species
UACGUAGGGUGCAAGCGUUGUCCGGAAUUAUUGGGCGUAAAGAGCUUGUAGGCGGUUUGUCGCGUCUGCUGUGAAAUUUCGGGGCUCAACCCCGAACUUGCAGUGGGUACGGGCAGACUAGAGUGUGGUAGGGGAGACUGGAAUUCCUGGUGUAGCGGUGAAAUGCGCAGAUAUCAGGAGGAACACCGAUGGCGAAGGCAGGUCUCUGGGCCAUAACUGACGCUGAGGAGCGAAAGCAUGGGGAGCGAACAGG